AACAAAGCAAAGCCGAAUUCCGUAUGGAAGCGGAGGACCCACCUUUUUGGGGUGAAUUCUGCCACAAGCAGAAAGGAUGUUUACCUCUCUUGCCAUCCUAACCCGACAGCUAACUUCGUAGGCUAAAGCAAAGAGGUCGA
rnacentral:sRNA from 2 species